GGUGGAACCUUUAUGCGAAUUUUACAACGCAACAAACGUCGUGCCAUUAAGCUAGCUCCACAGCAGACUAAAAGAUAAACACCGUUGGAAAAAAAAAAGAUUUCAUAUGGGCCCAUCUCUCUCUACAGAGAAGAAGACGCUUUCGAUAGAAGAAACGUAUUUUCCAGAUUUUUUCAACAGCCUUCAUCAUUAAUUAGCCUGCCCCGAUUGGGGCUAUACAGAUUGGGUCAAUGCAGAUUGGAGCAGUAUAGAUUGGGGCAAUAUAGAUUUCAUAUUAAAUCUUUUUUUUUUCUAUUUGGGACAAUAUAGAUUAAUACAUAGUUGAGAUAUGGCAGUGUAGAAAGAAUAUUACUGUCUGCAGAGAUGAUGUCCUCUUCAGGAAGAGAAUAAGGGAUUCAGUAGAUUAAUGUAAAAAUAUUGGGGUCAUACUGUAACAAAUUCAGAAUUAAAGGUUUGGAGAAAGAAAUGCCAUGGAGGCUCGGCUGCUUAUGGAAAUGGAGAACACGUAUGUUUUGGGAUAUAUGAUUAAACCCCAUAUUGAAAUCAUCAUAAUUAGUCUCCUAAUUUCAUUAAAUUGACCAUCUCUUUUUUUUUAUCUCGUUACGACACUUUCUGAUUCUAUGUCUCUCCACUCUCCUAAAGAGUUCUUACAUUUGUCAGAAUCAGAUCAAGCACUUGUAAGUUGUAAUAAUAAUUUAAAAAUAAAAAAUUAAGCAAAAGUUUUAUAAAUGGGGUUUGCUGAUAAAGCCGAGCACUCUAAAGGGAAAAUGGUCCAACAGAAAUAAUUACCUCGCGUUGUCUUGAUUCAUCGGUGGGGUGGCCUUAACAUAAUCCGAGACCACAUGUUUUUUGACCAUGAUCAGUAAGUUACAUUGAGUUCCUUUGAAGCAACUUAGGCACUCAGGGACGGGGACCAUACUGUUGUAUGUGCUGCAGUAUAUGUGUGUGUUCAUACCCAUAAACACUCACAUUUACCAAUCAAUAGACCCCGCAGACGAUAAUGUGCACGCGCACAAACGUGAAUACAUAAAAUAUAUAAUCAGAAAAUUGCUACAAACGUGGCAUUUUUUUUAGGUGGGAACUUAUCGACCGACAAUAUAAGAUAUGGACACAAACUUGCUCCCAUUAAGGAAGUUAGUGACCUGACAACGGCUAGGUUUUCAUAAUGCAUCAUACAUGUACUUUAUGAACAUCUUAGCAGUAUUAAUACCACAGCCACCCACAAACUAGAGGUAAGUUUCAUCAUACUCCAGACCCGAUCCUAGAUUUCGACCCAAUAAUCCAAAAGCCUGAUAAGAGGAUAGUAGACUAAAAAAUAUUAAAACCCAUUUUGGGGUGAAAUAAAGUCAAUCCCGAACUAGCUUGGUAAUGCAAAAAAAAAAAAAAAUCAGAUCAUUAAAGACAAUUUUAAAUGUGUUAAAGAUUCGCCGGAGAUCAUAUCGCCGUUAUGAUCUCUUUUCAAACAGCUAUAUAAAAGAACGUCAAAGGAGGAUAUGGAGAUCCCAAGUCUAGUACAUCUAAGUUAUAUUUGAAUUACCCUCUUGUUCACUUAUAUUUUUGAAACCAUUUAUUCUUCACAAUUGUAUAAAUUAAAAGAUCAAUAAAUAAACUGUAAAUGCCUUCACAACUUGAUUUAACAUUUAUACAAUCUGAAAAAAAAAUUAAACAGUUUAUACUAUUUAUUCAUAUAUACUUAGUUACCAAUAAUUUAUGGAUUAUUGGUAAAUAAAUAAUUGUGAUUUGUUUUAUAUAUCAACUAUGCUUUUUAGUUUUUUAAAGCAGAAUUAACUAUAUGUGAGUUUAAGGUUUUUUUUUUUUUUUUUGAAUGCUUAAAUAUCAUUUUAGAACUUUGUUAGUCCAACUUUAAAAUCACAUACAUUAGUGUAAAACUAUAGUAUCCACCAAACUUGGUGAAGUAUUCACCAUGCUAAGCACUGUUCAUUUGAUUUAAUUAAUAAAUAUUGUAAAUUAAAGUAAGAUAAAUAUAUAAAAUUGAUAUCUACAUAUAUUAAAAUAUUUUAUUUUAAUUUAUUACUUUAAUAUUAUCAUAUUUUAAAAUAGUAAAUAAUUUUAAAAUAUUUUAGUGUUAAAUAUUUGUAUGUAAUAUAAUACAUAGAAAAUUUAUUUAUUGUAUAUAUUAAGUAAUACAUUUUUUAUAAAUUAAUAAUAUAAAAACGAAAAUGUAGUUUUAGAAUAAAAUUUGGUGUUUUGAUUGAUGAAAGAAAAAAAUUAAUACAGAAAAUAUAUUAAAAUAUUGUGAUUUUUUACACCAGUGAUUUGUCUAAACCUCUUUGAAUUUAACUUUUGGAUGAAAUCUAAUAAAGCUAGGAAUAGCCAAUAGGUAAUAGGAUAAAAGUAGUUGUUCGGAAUCAUGACAGCCAUAACUAGUAGGGUCAAUGGACUUUUUCUAGGUGUCAAAACCAACAAAAUUUGUAAAUACAUGUUAAUUGUAAGAAGAAAAAUUAAAGUUAGGCCAAAAGCAGAUCUAACCAUCGUUAAAUUUUGUUUAACUACCGAAAGAGGAAGCACAUGUGUUUUGGCAGAUGGAUAAGCAACAUUCUAGUAGCUUUUAUCAUAAUGUUUUGCGCAAACUCUAUAAUUUUAUAAAUGGUUUCAAAUUUUUAUGUUUUGUGCUUAUGUUUUACAAAGACGAAUUAUAUAAAUACAUUUAAUAACUUAAAAUUAUUAUAAUUUAUUGUUAUAUUUUUAAUAUUUAAUUAGUAAUAUUUAUUAUAAGUUACUGUUGAAAAUAACAAAAAAAUAUGAAAAUUAUUGUAAUGUUAAUCAAUAAAUUCUAGUUGUUAUGAAUAGUAUCACUAUGCAUGGUUUUGGUGAAAUCAAUCAUAUAAAUAUUUUAAUAAAUUAAAAACAAUAUAAUAGCUAAUUUGUUUUUAAUAUGGUGAUUGUAAGAAUACUUUGUAAAUGUUUAUAUUUUGAACAUUGAUGAACAACCUAGUUAAAAGGUACGUGUAAUGAAGUAACUUGACUUUUACAAAGAUCUUACAAUGGAUUUCCAAUUUUAGUUAAGAUAUAUGCUUCACAUAAAUAAAUUAGUUAUGUGAUUAUGACCAAAUUUACAGGUCUUAACAAAUUUAUAAUUUCUAUAAUGUUAUAACCUUUAUUUGGGAUGUUGGUGACCAAAAUUAAUUUGGUUAGUAGAGAGGGGUUCCUGAAUUUUACUAUAAAGUAUUUUGUAUUGAAUUAUCUAUUUAUUUAUUUUUGUAAAAAGAGAAAGUAUGUCAUGUGACCACUAAAAAAAGUGAAGACCACCAACAAACAAGAAGGAUGGAGCUUAUCCGGGCCUUAAAUAAAUAAAAGGCCGUAGUCUCAGGCCAUCUUUUGUUGACCCAUUGGAGUCUUAACUCUUCUUCUCUCCAAAAACAGGCUGAAAAGACUGUAUCCGUCCAUAUAUUUUGUUUUAAAUUUGUUACAUGCGUAACUGAACUUCCUAUAGAUGUAAACUAACAAGCGAAAGCGCCAAUCCAGAGAAGGGAAGACUUAACUUUGCGGAGCAUGUGUUCUUGCUAUGAUCUUAGAAAAUUGCAGCAGCAUAAGAUUCAAAAAGUAUCUGCGAAUUGAACACCAUGGGCAUCGAACUUACCUACUCUCAAGGGAGCUGAGUAUGUGACGAGCCAAUGGUAACGAACAAACAAUUACGUUUUUUGUAUGUAUAUUCAAUCAGAAUUUAGAAUCAUUGUAACAAGGAAUGAUGAUAAAUUAAAUCAAAUCCAAACAAGAAAAGGAGGAUUCUGAAAUUAAGAUACCAAAAA